AGCGCUGCGCCGCCUGGGGAGGAACGCGGCGCCGGUGACGGCCCGGGGCUCGCCCUAAGCAGCUUUUAUCGGGGGAUAAAGGGCAAACCUCGACGUGGGUCGGGCUGUCCCGCAGGAUGGGAACGGCACGGACUGAAGCCGCUCCUCCUCAAGCCCUGACCCAGUUCUCACGCAGAGCCUUGGCAGCUCGCCGCAGCUAUCCACGUGUUUGAAAAGCAUCGAUCCUGAGUUACUUCUGGAUUGGAAUGCAGCUGAUGCUGUGAGGGGACAAGUCUUCUAAAGAGGCCGAGGAAUAAGAACUGCUCCUUCCCCAGUCCUUACAGCACUGCUCCCCACACUCGUGGGAAACAGCUCCUGCCGAGCGGUUCUCUCCUCUGCACUGCCCUCCUACCAACACACGUGCUGUGACUUUACAUCCCACUGCCAGUCCUCCAGCUUUAAUGCAGCUUCUAUUUAGCUCUAGCUACUUCACAGGGGAGAAAGAGUGUUAAAAAAACCCAAAAAGUGCAAGCCGGGCCCUGUAUAAAUAAUUAACAUCGGUUUAACAGCAUUCAUGAUUUUACUAUUAAUGUGCGCCUUGCUGCAGCUGCCCAGGCCCAGCAGUGAGAGCGCCCUGCUGGAGGGCAGCCCGAGUCAUCCCCACGCCCUCCUGCUGGGCAGGUCACCACUGCCUGGAAAUCCUCUGUCAGUCCAUUCUGAAACCCCACAUAGCUUCCAGCUGGCUCACAAACCUCUUCAGCAAAACCUCAACGAGAACAAUUCCCCUCUGAUAACACUGGGGAGAGCAAAAGAAACAAAAAGGUCACCACUUCCUUAAAAUCAUUUCUCUUCCACUGCUUUACUGGAUGUGGGCACCAGCCAAGCCCUCACCAAACC
ensembl:lncRNA